rnacentral:rRNA from 1 species
UACAGAGGUCUCAAGCGUUGUUCGGAUUCAUUGGGCGUAAAGGGCGCGUAGGCGGUCUGUUAAGUUCGGUGUGAAAUCCCCUGGCUCAACUGGGGAACUGCGCUGGAAACUGGCAGACUCGAGUACCGGAGAGGAGAGUGGAAUUCCUGGUGUAGCGGUGAAAUGCGUAGAUAUCAGGAGGAACACCGGUGGCGAAGGCGGCUCUCUGGACGGAUACUGGACGCUGAGGCGCGAAAGCGUGGGGAUCAAACAGG